ACCGUCAAUUCCUUUAAGUUUUAGCCUUGCGGCCGUACUCCCCAGGCGGGGCACUUAAUGCGUUAACUUCGGCACAGAAGGGGUCAAUACCUCCUACACCUAGUGCCCAUCGUUUACAGUGUGGACUACCAGGGUAUCUAAUCCUGUUUGCUCCCCACGCUAUCGCACCUCAGCGUCAGUAUCCGACCAGGCCAGCGCCUUCGCCACUGGUAUUCCUCCCGAUAUCUACGAAUUUCACCUCUACACCGGGAAUUCUCUGGCCCCCUUCGGCACUCGAGCCAUGCAGUUUUGGAUGCACUUCCUGGGUUGAGCCCAGGGCUUUCACAUCCAACUUGCAAAGCCGCCUACGUGCGCUUUACGCCCAAUGAUUCCGAGCAACGUUUGCACCCUCCGUAUUACC
rnacentral:misc_RNA from 1 species